GGCGCUGCGGGACGUAAUGACGUAGUCAGGGGGUGGGGCUUGCCGGUUGCGACAUUUCCGUUUCUCUUAGUGGCGGUGGUAGUGUGCUUCGGAGAAGAGAGCAGCACGCAGAGGGAGCGGGACAAUGCCUAAAUCAAAGGAACUUGUGUCUUCAAGCUCAUCUGGCAGUGAUUCAGAUAGCGAAGUUGACAAAAAGGCAAAGAGGAAAAAGCAAGCGGCUCCAGAAAAGCCUGUAAAGAAACAAAAGACUGGUGAAAGUUCUAAAGGUGCAGCUUCCUCUAAGCAAAGCAGCAACAGAGAUGAGAAUAUGUUCCAGAUUGGCAAAAUGAGAUAUGUCAGUGUUCGUGACUUUAAAGGGAAAGUCCUAAUUGAUAUUAGAGAAUACUGGAUGGAUCAAGAAGGUGAAAUGAAACCUGGCAGAAAAGUGUUAUACCAGUAAGUUAUAGUACUAAACAUUUUUUGGGGGAACCUACCAUGUCUCCAAGAUGCAAAAGUCCCAUAUGGGAAUAUUUUUGAAGAGAUUCCUGUAUCAUUUGGAAGUAUUAAGAAAGGAUCACAUGCUGUAUAAGCGUAACAAAGACAAUGCAGGGCUUGGUAGCAGGAAUGAAACAACAUUUUGAAAAGUGUGCUACCCAUGCCAAGGAUGACAUUGAAGAUACUGUUUCUCUGUCAGUCUGAAUAUUCUGGAUCUUUUGAGCUGGAAGAGAACCACCCAAAAAUGUUUUUGCUGCUGAACUCAGUGAAGUUAAACCCAUGGACUGGUGGAAAUUUCUUGGCAGUUUCACAGAGAUGUAGAGCUCAGAAAAUAACUUUUUUUCCCCCCUGGGGUUGAAGCUACUGCAGGUGUACAAACAACAUUAUCUAAAUCUUGACUAGUUUGUUCUAAUUUCAGAAACUGAUAGUGUGUAAAGGAAGUAGGAAAUCUAUCUUGAACAAUUAAUCCAGGUGGCAGAUGAAGACACUGUAUUCUAGAAAAUUUCUCAGUGCAGUUUCUCUCAUUUAUUUAGUCAGUUUACUAAAACUGAAAAAAAAACCUCGUUUUGCCAUUACCUACUUGUGAUUUAGUACAUAUCACACUAGAGCUUGGUUUCAAUUGAGGUUUUGUUACUUCAGCAGUUGGGAAAGCAGAGCCCAAGCAGUAACAUUCCAACAUGUUGGUUUUGGUGUAAUCCCAACAAAAUUUACUUGUACUGUAGUUUCGUGCAAGGAUUUUCAGUGGAGCCUAAUGACUUAAACAUACACAUCCCAUUGAAAUUCUGUGGGAAUUAAGUGUCUACCUCCAUAAGCCCCUUUGUAAAUCCAACAUGACUAAACAAAUGUUGACUAAAUCAGAAAUGUAAGUCACUAAAUUUGACUACCAUAAACUCUCUGAAGAAGUUUGUUUGGUAAAGUAAGUUGCUGCUUGAACAAGCCACGUAUGUUAUUAAGGCCAUGUCUAUAUGUAUAGCGCUACAGCGAUGCAGUUGUACCAAUACAGCUGCAGCGCCUCUGGUGAAGAUGCUCUGUGCCAAUGGGAGAAAGCUUUCCUGUCCCCAUAAAAACCCACCUCCAGGAGCGGCAUAAAUUGUGUUGGCGGGAGAUGUUCUUCCGCCAACAAAGCGCUGUGCAUGUGAAUGCUUAUGUUGGUGUAAUUUACGCCGAUCGGGGAUGUAAUAUUCACACCCCGGAGUGGUGUAAGUUUUGUUGAUAUAGGGUGUAGUGUAGACGUAAUUUUUUUAGGUAAGUGAUAUUUAGGCAAUGUGGCCAACACUAACCCUACAUCAAUAGAUGACUGUCUUCUCUGUUAUCAACCGUGUGAUGUUUCCUUUUGGAAACUAAUCUAAAAUCUAAUCUUAAAAUGAGUAUUGUCUUUAAAUUGCUUUGACUGAAAUCAGCACACUUUGAAAACCAUGCUAGAUUAGAAUAUUUGAUUUUUUUGUUGGUUUGUUCAUCUAGAAAUGAAGCUGGUGACUAUGGUAAGACUUUUGAGACAGCUUCAGAAAUCAAUUUGUAUAUUUUCUGACUGAAAGGGCUUAAUGCUGUUUGUGAUGGUAUUUUUUCCAGUGCAAAAUUAAAUAUUCAAUUUCAGUAAAGUGGUCAAGAUUUUCUUGAAAAAACAAACCUGUCUUCUCUGAAAACUUGAUAAAACUAUGUGACAGCAUGUUCAGACUAGCUGGUGUCCAAAACAUGAAAGAAUGUAGGAAAAGUUUUUUUUCCCCUCUAGAUUAAAGUUCACAGGUGGUUGACAACAGCCGUACUUAUGUUUUAAUAUUCUCAAAUAAUAAAAAUAUUCGGUACCAAAAAAGUCCUGAUCCUGUUUUCCUUGGGUCCUGUUACAGGUGUUUUACUAAAGUGUGUCUAGAUUGCUCUUUGAAUGAAUGGAGACACAAUUAAUUAAAUCCUUAAAUAAACAAUGGGUUAAAAGUUUAAGGAACGUGCAUAGAGGCAUGAGUAAGAUUGGUGCAUGAGAAGAUAUAGAUAAAUGUCGUACUAUUUUGUGUGGUGGGAGAGAAGAAUGGUGAUCAAUUCUGUAACCAGACAGGGUGCAGCAAAGUGCUUUUGAUGCUGCUUCAAAAAGGUUUACAUGCUUAACGUACAGAAUUUAGUUUUAACAAAGAAGAUUAAAGGGUGACUUUAAGGAAUGGGGAGCAAGUAUUUAAUAAUUGGCUCAUCAGUCUAGCAGAGAAGAGUGUAACACAAUCUAGUGGCUAGAGGUUGAAGCUAGCCAAUUUCAGACUGGAGAUAAGUCUCAAAUUUUUAACAGUGGAGAUAAUUAACCAUUGGAACAGUUUAUCAAUGGUCAUAGUGGUUUCUCAAUCACUGACAAUUUUGAAAUCAAAAUUAGCUUUUUAGAAAACAUCUAUGCUCUAGGAAUUUUGCAAAAGUUCACUGGGCCCUGUUGUACAGGAUGUCAGGCUAGUUGAUCACUAUAGUCCUGUCUGGCCGUGGAAUCUGUGAAUCUAAGAACGUGUGUGUGCAAACUCAAUCCACAAACACAUGGCUUUUAUCACACUAAAGAAAGAAGCCUGGGCCUCUCCAGCUCAUCCAGAAUUCUAGUGCAGCCUGCCAUCAGAGCCACUGCUACAUUCACAUAACACAUGGGAUGGGUUUCUACAAAGAUGCUGCACUACCGUUUGUAUCUUCUUCCCACAUCCAAACAGAAUCCAUAAGCAGUCUAACCUAUUGUUUAGCCUGAAGUUAAAUAUAAAUAUUCCAGUGAAUAGUCAUAAAUGAAUAAUUACAUUAACUAAAAUAUCUAACACUCACUACAGCUAACACUUUUACAGUUAUGAAAAUAUUGAUCUCAUAGUAACGUUGUUUUGGUUCAAAGAUUGUUACAGUUGUACAAAAUCUUCAUCUUAGUUUUCAUACUGCACUAAGGAUUUGUGUUUAAUGCAUUUCAGGUAUUUCUUUAAAUCCAGAACAGUGGAGCCA